rnacentral:rRNA from 1 species
AUUGAACGCUGGCGGCAUGCUUUACACAUGCAAGUCGAACGGUAACAGGCCUUCGGGUGCUGACGAGUGGCGAACGGGUGAGUAAUGCAUCGGAACGUACCCAGAGGUGGGGGAUAACGCAGCGAAAGCUGUGCUAAUACUGCAUGUGAUCUGAGGAUGAAAGCGGGGGACCGAGCAGCAAUGUUUGGCCUCGCGCCUUUGGAGCGGCCGAUGUCGGAUUAGCUAGUUGGUGGGGUAAAGGCCUACCAAGGCGACGAUCCGUAACUGGUCUGAGAGGACGACCAGCCACACUGGGACUGAGACACGGCCCAGACUCCUACGGGAGGCAGCAGUGGGGAAUUUUGGACAAUGGGCGCUAGCCUGAUCCAGCAAUGCCGCGUGCGGGAAGAAGGCCUUCGGGUUGUAAACCGCUUUUGGCAGGAACGAAACGGUGUCCGCUAAUACCGGGCGCUAAUGACGGUACCUGCAGAAUAAGCACCGGCUAACUACGUG